UUCGCAAUGCCCGAAAGGGUGACGAAGCGACGCCGCGUGAGCGAAGAAGGCCUUAGGGUUGUAAAGCCCUGUCGAGGGUUAUGAAAUGUAAACAGGUUAAUACCCUGUUUAUUUGACAAAAGCCCAAGAGGAAGUCACGGCUAACUCUGUGCCAGCAGCCGCGGUAAUACAGAGGUGGCGAGCGUUGUUCGGUAUUAUUGGGCGUAAAGAGCACGUAGGUGGUUUUGUAAGUCAGGUGUGAAAGCCUUCUGUUCAAAGGAAGAACGGCAUCUGAAACUGCAGAUCUUGAGUGUAGGAGGGGAGAGUGGAACUUCUGGUGGAGCGGCGAAAUGCGUAGAUAUCAGAAGGAACGUCGGCGGCGAAAGCGACUCUCUGGCCUAUUACUGACACUGAGUGUGCGAAAGUUAGGGGAGCAAACGGGAUUAGAUACCCCGGUAGUCCUAACCGUAAACGAUGGGCACUAAGUAGAGGGGUUUU
rnacentral:rRNA from 1 species